CAGCCGCCGCGGGAAUACGAAGGGUGCAAGCGUUAAUCGGAAUUACUGGGCGUAAAGCGUGCGUAGGCGGUUUGUUAAGUCUGCUGUGAAAUCCCCGGGCUCAACCUGGGAAUGGCAGUGGAUACUGGCAAGCUAGAGUGUGUCAGAGGAUGGUGGAAUUCCCGGUGUAGCGGUGGAAUGCGUAGAGAUCGGGAGGAACAUCAGUGGCGAAGGCGGCCAUCUGGGACAACACUGACGCUGAGGCACGAAAGCGUGGGGAGCAAACAGGAUUAGAUACCCCAGUAGUCCCUGUCUCUUAUAC
rnacentral:rRNA from 1 species